UACGUAGGGUGCAAGCGUUGUCCGGAAUUAUUGGGCGUAAAGAGCUCGUAGGCGGUUUGUCGCGUCUGCUGUGAAAUCUGGAGGCUCAACCUCCAGCCUGCAGUGGGUACGGGCAGACUAGAGUACUGCAGGGGAGACUGGAAUUCCUGGUGUAGCGGUGAAAUGCGCAGAUAUCAGGAGGAACACCGGUGGCGAAGGCGGGUCUCUGGGCAGUUUUGCUGACACUGAGGCGCGACAGCGUGGGGAGCAAACAGG
rnacentral:rRNA from 1 species